CAUUCAAGCCUAACACAUGCAGUCGAGCGGCAGCGAAAAUAUAGUUCAUCUAUAUUGUCGGCGAGCGGCGGACGGGUGAGUAACAUAUGGGGAUCUACCCUAAGGCGGGGGGUAACUAUUGGAAACGGUAGCUAAUACCGCAUAAUCUCUUAGGAGUAAAGUGGGGGACCAUACAUAAAAUGUGGCCUCCCACCUUAGGAUGAACCCAUAUGAGAUUAGCUAGUAGGUGGAGUAAAGGUUCACCUAGGCAACGAUCUCUAGCUGGUCUGAGAGGAUGAUCAGCCACACUGGGACUGAAACACGGCCCAGACUCCUACGGGAGGCAGCAGUGGGGAAUAUUGCACAAUGGGCGCAAGCCUGAUGCAGCCAUGCCGCGUGUAUGAAGAAGGCCUUCGGGUUGUAAAGUACUUUCAGUCGGGAGGAAGAUAUCAAAGUUAAUAUCUUUAAUAUUUGACGAUACCGACAUAAGAAGCACCGGCUAACUCUGUGCCAGCAGCCGCGGUAAUACGGAGGGUGCGAGCGUUAAUCGGAAUUACUGGGCGUAAAGGGCACGCGGGCGGUUAAUUAAGUUGGAUGUGAAAUCCCCGGGCUUAACCUUGGAAUGGCAUUCAAAACUGAUUAACUAGAGUUUUGUAGAGGGAGGUAGAAUUCCAUGUGUAGCGGUGAAAUGUGUAGAGAUAUGGAGGAAUACCAGUGGCGAAGGCGGCCUCCUGGACAAAAACUGACGCUCAUGUGCGAAAGCGUGGGGAGCAAACAGGAUUAGAUACCCUGGUAGUCCAUGCUGUAAACAAUGUCGAUUUGGAGGUUGCGGUCUUGAACUGUGGCUUCCGGAGCUAACGCGUUAAAUCGACCGCCUGGGGAGUACGGCCGCAAGGUUAAAACUCAAAUGAAUUGACGGGGGCCCGCACAAGCGGUGGAGCAUGUGGUUUAAUUCGAUGCAACGCGAAGAACCUUACCUACUCUUGACAUCCAAAGUACUGAACAGAAAUGUUCGGGUGCCUUAGGGAACUUUGAGACAGGUGCUGCAUGGCUGUCGUCAGCUCGUGUUGAGAAAUGUUGGGUUAAG
rnacentral:rRNA from 1 species